rnacentral:lncRNA from 1 species
UAUUAUUUAUUUAUUUAUUCGUUUAUGUGUCGCUGAUGAAAUCAUGUCGUUCUCGAAUGCUCCUGGGUCCGAGGGGAAGGCAGGCCAGAGCGGAGCUGAGGCCGGUCAGGCUCCCAGUCACGUCUCCCACACUCCCACACUCCCGCAGCCAGCCUGCUCCUUCCUUCCUUCCUUCCUUCCUUCCUUCUUUCCUUCCUUCCCUCCCUCCCGCCCGGGCGCGAACGCUAGAAGCCGGGAACGGCUCGGCGAGGCUCCCCCAGGGCAGAGCGGCGGCCUCUCGGCCGGGGCUCCGCGCUCUCGCGCCCGCCGGGCGCGGAUCUGGAGCUCCGCCGGCCGGCGUGGAAGCUCACUCGGUCCUUCCUUCCUUCCCCAUCCAUCCAGGCUCGCUCGGAAGGAAGGCCCCACACCACAUCCACACACACGUCUCUGCUCUGGAGGAGAGCUCCGGAGAAGCCCAGUCUGGCGGCCGCUUUCUCGGCACACACACACGGAGGGAAAACACGCUGGCUGGCUGGCUGGCUGGCUGGCUGGCUGGCUGGCGGUGGAGCCGCCUCUCCCCGAGCCAGGGGCAGGCAGGCAGGCAGGCAGUCAGGCGGGCCCUGGGACCCCGAUCCCCUCCGUGCCGCGCUCGCUGAGUCUGGGCGGCCAAGCUCACACACAGCGUGGGAAUGCGGCCCGAGCACGGGGCGCUUCCCUUCCCCCUCGGACAGAGCUCUCUCCUCGCUCGCUCGCUCGCUCGCUCGCUCGCUCGCUCGCGGGAGGCCUUGGCGGUUUGUACACACGCCCGGGCGGGCCCGGAGCCCUCUGCCGGGAGGCCCGGCUCUCCUAGGUCCGAGGGGGGAAGGCAGGCGAGAGCGGAGCUGAGGCAAGUCACCCCCCCCCCCCCGAAAUCCACACCCGCAAGCGUAGGGUCAUGAUUAGCUCAGGGGAUGAUUAGUUUAGGCCACGAUUCGGUUAGGGCGUGAUGAGUUUAGCGGGUGAUUACAUUAGGGGUGAUUCAAUCAGGCCGUGAUUCGUUCAGGGGACGAUUCGAUCAGGCCACGAGUCAAUGAGGCCGUGAUUCAAUCAGGCCGUGAUGAGUUCAGGCUGAUGCAAUUAGGCCAUGAUUCAUUUCGCGCGUGAUUAGGUUAAGGCCACAGAGCUUCCCUGCCCUGCAUUGAGGGCGGGCGGGCGGGGCGGAGGUUGAAGGGCGGCCGAAACCCGGUCCGGAGCAAGCCAGCCGCGGUAGCGUAGCGGGUAGAGUCAGGCAGGCAGUAGGCAGGCAGGCAGGUUAGGCAGGCAGGUCAGGAGUUCGAAUCCCAGGUAGGGUGUAGGAGGUAGGUAGGCAGGCAGGCAGGUAGGUAGGCAGGGUCCUUAGAGCUAGGGGUGAGAUAGGAACA